rnacentral:tRNA from 1 species
GGGGUAUUAGCUCAGUCGGCAGAGCACUUGACUUUUAAUCAAGUUGUCCGGGGUUCGAAUCCCCGAUGCCUCA